AUGAAGGAAGGACGGAGGGGGCAGGAGCGGAGAGCGGAGAGAACGCCCACCAGGAGGGGUGGCGAGACGGGCAGUUUACAAACUGCCAGGGCUGGAGGAGCCCCGCGAGGAAGGAAGGAGGUUGGGAGGAGAGAAGGAAACCCAAGAGGAAGAUCUCAUUUCCCCCCGAAAAGAUCAGGAGCCACCUGCUUCGAUAUGCGGUAUUCCCGAGGAGAUUUAGAGGGAAAAGAAAAAACUGAAAAGAAAAAAAAAAAAAAAAACCCUAAACACACACUUGAAACUGGAAGACGCCUAAGACGCGUGGAAACGGAGAGGGCGAGAAGAUCUCCCGGGGCUACAGAUCUGUCAGCUAAAUACCGCAGUCUACCACUAAAGACCCCUGAAACUGGUCAACAUGAACUUCUGCUUUCAGAAUUAGGAAGACUACACAAUUUUGUCUUCAUGGAUGAAAGAUCUGUACUCAACACAGAAAAUACCCUCAUAUCCCCUUAAGAGGUGGUACUGUAUUUCCACAGUGAAGCUAGCAUAUGAAGUCAUACUUGGUAUGGGACAGCCAUGCCAAGUGUACAAAUGUUAUAUAAGAAAAGAAACAUGAACUACCAGCAACUUAGGCUAUGAAAAUAAUAAGAUAAUUUCUAAUUAUCUAACCUCAAAGAAAUGGAGCCAUAUAAACUAUUUAACAACAACAACAAAAAAUGAAUAUAAUUGUCCUCAUGGAUCUCAGCAAAUUUGAGGAAAGGUUUAUUGCAUUAUUUUCUAUGAUAACAUACACAUACUGUGAAAUUCAGACACAUAACAAUGUUUCACUUAACAACAGACAGAUGCUUACAUAUCUAAUGAUUCUUACAUACAUAAGAUUAUAAUGGAGCUGAGAAAUUCCUGUCGCCUAGUGAACACAUAGAUGAAUAAAUGUAAGAAAAAAAGGAAAAGAUAAAAAGAUCCACUAAGAAAAUCCACAGUGAAGAGUUUAACAGAACAUUUUUAGACCUCAACAAUCUCUUUGAAAAUAGGGACUCCAAAACAGUGGUUUUCAGUAAUGCAGAAGAUUGGUCUGAUUACAAAUAAAUUUAUGAUGAAACAUUUGAAAUAAACCAAGCAAAACACCUUGGACUUCUUUCUGAGAAGAGUGACACCUCCAAAGGAAAAAUUUCAAGCAAGUCUUGCAGGAAAAUUGUAGAAAGGCAUUUUCAUAUUGGGAGAUAACAGCUCCAUGUUUCCCUGCAGAUCUCAUUGACAUACAAUGUGAGGAGGGUGACAGUGAUACUGACGGUCCUGACCCUGAAUAGGCCCAGGCUCAUAUGUGUAUUGGUUUCUAAGGUUUUAACAAGAAAUUGUUUGAAGUUUUAAAAAAUUAACUAAACAAUUUUAAAGUAAACAAAUGCUGAUGAAAUGAGUGCAUAAAAUAUUCUUUUGUAGCUGAAAAAUGAUUGUAGUUUGUUACUAUAAAAGAAUCAAAAAGUUUUUAAAAAUUAUAAAGGUAAUAAAGUUAAAAUUUCAGUAACCUAAAGUUAAUUUAUUAUUGUUUAAAGAAUUUUUAGAAACUUAGAAUGGCAUAAGUAUGCAGUGCUUACCAAUUUUAUAGAAGUGUACAGUAAUCUUCUAGGCCUUCACACUCAUUCACUACUCUCUCAUCCCAAAUGACUUUUAGUCCUACAAGCUAAAAGUCCCAUGAAGCUGUACCAAGCUUAUCUUUUAUACUGUAUUUUACUGUAUAAUUUCUUUUUCUAUAUGUUUCUAUCAUUGUGUUAUGAUUGUCUACAGUAUUCAGUACAGAAAUAUCUUAUACAGGUAUGUAGACUAGACCAACAGUACACCAAAAAGUCCUACAUGUGUAGUAGGCUAUGCUGUCCAAUUUUGUGUAGGUAUGCUCUAUGAUGUUUAUACAAUGAUGUUACCUAAUGAUGCACAUCUCAGAACAUAGCCAAUGAAUGACUGUACAGGAAAAUCCCAACAAAAUCAGGACAAUAAUAACCAGUUUAUAAAUUUUAAAAAAGCAUAAAUCCUGAAGCUGAAAACUACAGUGAAUUAAAUGAAAACACAAUUCACGUCAUCAAUAGAAAAUCUAAACAAGCAGAUACAAUGACAAGUUAUUUGCAAAUUUCCAAUAGAGUUGUAGAAAAAGAAUGAGGAAAAGAAAUUUGCAAGAUUUAUAGGAAAGCAUCAAAAAGUAUAAUAUUCAAAUUAUAGGUGUUCAAGAAGGAGAAGAGUAAGAUGAAGAGGAAGUUUAUUUAAAGAAGUAAGAGCAGGACGCUUUUCAAAUAUGAAAAAAUAUUUAAAUAUCCAGGUACAGAAAGCUCAAAAGUCUGAAACAAAAUUACCUCCAAGAAGAUGAGAACAUGAUAUAUUAUAAUCAAGCUAUCAAAAAUCUAAAUGAAGAGAAGAUCCUGAAAGCAGUAACAGAAAAAAUUAUGUCACAAGAGUUCCAAUAAUACUAGCAAUGGGUUUACCAGCAGAAGCUUUAAAAGACAAGAAGGAGUGGGAUGAUACAUGCAAAGUGCUGAAGAAAAACAAUAAAUUACAGACCAAGGAUAGCUCACCAGGCAAAGCUGUUCUUCACAAAUGAAUGACAGAGAAAGAAUUUCUCAAGGAAGCAAAAAACUGAAAGAAUAUCACCACCAGAUCUCUUGCAUGAAAUGCUAGAGAGUCCUUCAAGAUAAUUAGAAUACUAUAUGGAAGGGAAAACUCUCUGGUAGAAGUAAGUGCAUAGUCAAAUUCAGAAUAAUUUAAUUCUGUAAUAGUACUAUGUAAAUCACAUAUAUCUUAGUAUAAGGUUAAAAUAAAAAUAUUUAAAAUAAUAACUAUAAUAUUUUAUGAGUGCUUAUACAAUGAAAAGGUAUAAAUUAUGACAUCAAAAAAUAAAUGGAGAGGAGCUAGAGUAAAAUUACAAUUUUUAAAUGAAAUGAAAGUUAUAAUGUUAAUAGCCUAAGUAACAUAUUAUGACUAUGUUUUAUAUACAUAUUAUUGUGUUUUCAUCUAGCCUAGAAAAAAUUAUUGUUAAAAGGAAGGAGAAAAUAAGACACAGCAAAUAUCUAGAGGAUCAACAUGCUGACAUCAUUGUUUGGAACUCACUGUAAUUUAGGCACCAAAUCACAAUUCUUUAGUUUCACAAAAUUAUUUAUUUGGUUUCUAUAAACCAACCCUAUCCAAUUUAAUAAUGGUACUUAUAUCAAAUGUAUAUUAACACAAAUGACUAUAACUAUUGUAUCUUGAACUGUGAACCUCAACAUUGUGGAAUAAAUAGAUACUCUGAUGUCCUGUGAGUCUAUUUGCACUGAAAAUGCUAUAAAAGCUAGAGACUUUUGGGCUGCUGCUGAUGAAAUCAUCAUCAUGAUCAUCAUCCUUUUGCUAGCACAUUUUGUGUUUUAAGAAUUUAAUAUUUAAUCUUCACAACAACCUGAAAUGAUAGGUACUAAUAUUUUCUCUUUUUUACAGAUAAUAAGAGUAAGGCACAGAGAAGUGCAAUGUUGUAUAGGUGUUGCAAAACUGUAAUUUAAAAUUUCUAGCUUAAAGUCUCACGUUCUUAAUCAAUGUGUGUAAACACCCAUAAUGAAAUAUACUAUAUUAUGGAAUAGAUUCAGAUAUAAGUGAGGAAAG
rnacentral:lncRNA from 1 species